rnacentral:rRNA from 1 species
GGUCAAGCGAAUAAGUGCAUGUGGUGGAUGCCUUGGCGAUCACAGGCGAUGAAGGACGCAGUAGCUUGCGAAAAGCUGCGGGGAGCUGGCAAACGAGCUUUGAUCCGCAGAUGUCCGAAUGGGGAAACCCGGCCCGAAUGGGUCAUCUGUUACUGAAUUCAUAGGUAACAGAGGCGAACGCAGUGAACUGAAACAUCUAAGUAGCUGCA